CCUAACUGGGCCCACAGGUGCCCAGUUUGCCACCACUUCCUGAGCAACUGCUGCUGAUUGUUGUCAUGCUUUGAUUGAUGAACACAGGAAGCAUUGGAAGAGUUUGAUUUCCCAUUGCGUUUCCAAAACCCCUCUUUGUUACUGGUUACAACUAGUCCAAGGAGAACAGACACUCAAGAGCAAAAAUUUAAUCCAUUCAUUACAGCUUGGGGAAUCUGGACAAAGGACAAAAAGGGCCAAAGCCCUUGAUUUCCUCAGCAGUUCAUGUCCUUUACUGAGACUGCACCUUCUUACGUUGAGAGGAAAGAAAAGGUGAUUAAACAAGAAGUUAAAAUUGCUAGGCCGCAGCUCCCAGCAACACCAAAAGAUUAAUGCAUCAUGUUGGGGAUGCUUCAAACUCCAUGAUAUGCUCUGCUGCCUCUCUUCUGGGGCUGUUCAAAGUGGACUCUUCUGACAGCUCAGUCAGUGAUGCUGUUAGAUUUACUGAGGACUUUGGCAAUUAAUUUCUUUCAGACCUGAGAAGGGCCUCAUUGUUGUCCAUCAGAUUUUUAAUUAAUCAAAGUGGCAGAUGGGUAGUAUCAGCCUCAGAUGCUGGUGUAAUUAACUCAUUCAUUAUCAUGUUCUCUUGCUCUGACAAGUUUAUAAAGGACAUCUUUAAUCUAUCUGUCAUGAUGCUGUCCCCACAGUAGGAGUUAAAUGAUUUUGAUCAGUCUUUACCAUAAUUACCCUCUGUCCAGGAUACCAUCAGGGAAAAUGCUGUUUUUUGCCAAUAAAUAUGGAGGCCCCCCUUGGCUUCAGACAGGACUAGAGUUUGACCUGCAAAGAUGAGCAGGGCUGGUGAAAUCAGAGAUCCCUUUGAAAGUCUCUGGAACACACCUUUUUAGGCUCUCAAAACUGGAUGUGCAAAUUGCUUUAGGAGGCUUUUGUUAGCAGCUGACUAAGUCCUUGCUGGGAUAUAGUGCCAGUUUGGGAGGAGUUUCUUGGGUCUUUCUAAAUAUGCCCUACCAAGGUCAUUUGAGACAUGUCCUCAUCGUGAAUGGAUGCCCAGGAAACACUCCCAGGCUCAUCUUGUUAAGUUUUAACAAAGCUUUUGACAUGCUUUUGGCCCAAGCUGUCAGCAUGAGAGUACCCAGCAAAAUUCAGAAGUUGACACUGGUCAGGAACAGUAGACACUUUGGCCUUUUUUGCCCUGAGGAAUAAGAACUUUGACUUGGCUGAGUCUGUACCAAUUGACAUUGGCACCAGAAAAAGGUCCUGAGCACACUGAAUAAGUGUUGCUAUAGAUAUACUUAUCAUGCAUGAAAUGAAGAGUUUGAGAUAGAACCAGAAGCAAAAGAAGAAAGAACUUAAAUUCUGUGUAUCUGAAACAUAACCAGUGCUCCUCCUAAAUCAUCACGUAAUGCCUGGGAGGAUUUCUGACUGUCUUGUGGCAGCAACUGCCUCAAUAACUUCGGAGUGACCUGCACAACUGUCCGUAUCCAAAUGGCUGCUUGCAGCCUGAUAGGGCUGAAAUUAUAUUUCCCAGACUACCUUGAAAGAUUGUGAAAAAGCAGAGACUUUGGCCUGCUGAGGAAACGUUUGUCCUAGAUGCUCUUCCUAAGAAGUUGAGGGAAGGUCACAGCUUUAUCUCAACUGUGGCCCCUUACAUGAGGAAGGAGGCAACCUCUCCACAUCACUGUCCAUGCCAGCUGUGAAACCAGUGCUUCUCUCCAGCACUGAGAUAUCUUAAAUAAUGAGAUCAUUCACCUUUAAUGUGGCAUCAAGGAGGUAAAGAGUUUGUAUCUCUGACUAUUGAAUGAAGACUUUACUGCUGCCUGCAUUGUUGCUUUUGAAACAUUUGUUAGGAACAAAAAACCCAGUAAAAUUUAGACCAAAAUCCUCAGCUAAACCAAUGCUGUGACUUUAUUAAGCGCGAGGUUUGGGAAAAGAACAGCUUGGCUGUUCUUAAUUAAGGUUGUCUUUCCCUGGCAGAUUAAUUACCCAGAAUUCACUGCAGAUUCCUGGCACCAUGGAUGUUAUUGAUCCAGUCAGGCUGAUAGUCUGUGCUUGCAGGGAUCUGCCUGUGAUCCUCCUUCCAUGGGAAUUUGGGGCGGGAGGGAAGGAGGGAGCUGGCUGGUAGUUAUUAAUAGAAUUUGGAGCAGGUUUUCUCCCCAUGCUGAUUAAAUCAAAAUGCUAGACAGUUGCAUAAUCUUGUGCAUCUCAGUAACAGCAGCAAUUACCACCACCACCACAGGGCAGAGAAAAGUGUGCAAGAAGUGUGGAGACAGAUGCCAAAGGAAACAGUGGAUUUUUAUUUUUUUUCUGGAGAGGUGAAGUAAUGGGAUUAUUUUACAGAUGUUCAGAAACAGAGUGCUGAGAGUAUACUAUGAAUGUUUCCAAUGCCUCCUGGGCUGUAGUUUUAGUGUAAUAUGAUGUGUUCAAAUCAAGUCCAUGGCAAGGAACAGGGUUGCUGGUACCCUCUGAUGUGCAUCUGCAGGUCAGGGACGAUCCCAUCACUGCUUGUGAGCUCAGCCCAAGGCCCACUUGUUGGUGGGGAUAGGAAGCCAGUGACAUCUGCUUCUGCCCUGCAGGAAGCACAUCUUGGCUUUCCAGAAUGGGAGGCUGAGACAGGCUGCAGGUCAAGUGAUGGGAGAGGAGGAUUGCUGUUCAGGUAGCUGAGAAAGGCAGUCCAAGGACUGUCUCCUGGGUGCAGAACUCUCCCUUGUCAUGUAAGGUCAUGAAUGAUUCCCUUUCAGAGAUUCGUUACUUAGGAAAAUUUAAUGGGCACUUUGGCUUGUUGAGCCCAUGAUCUCCUUCAGCCUUGCAAAUUGUUUUUUAAACCCGCAAAACACCUCCAUGGGCCUCUUCUUGUUUGCUUUGGCUGUCGGACAAAUGCCUUAGUUAAACAUUUUCAAGCAUGAUUUCUAAUGCUGAGGCUGUGCUUUAGCAUGAGGUUGUGUUUUCCAUCAGGCCAGCUUGUUGGCUGUGAUAGCUUUACUUGCUCCAUUUUGUCUGGUACUCAGCCUCUUUCUACCUUUACUUGUCUGUUUUCUCAGGUUUUUUUUGCAGGCUGUAAACAGGUAAACAAACUAUUCCCCAAAGCUCCGGAAGAAGCUUAUGUUACAAGAUGUGCUGUAAUGAUGAGAGUCACAAUGGUGACAGGCAUAGGACUAGCUGCCUUGCUGUUUAGAGAACAACUUUUUGCCAGGCUUCAUCCACAGCCAUUUGCUGUUUCAAAAAUCCUGGGUUUCCCCUGAGUGUUUAGAAAUUCAGGCCUGAAUUUUCAGGAGGUAACAGUAGUUUGAGGUGCUAAAUUGGCCUAGGAAAUGUUUUUUUUUUACUUUUAGGAAAAGUUGAACAGUAUUUUACUUUAUACUUUUGCAAAUUCAGAAGCAAAUUUGAGAAUAGGAGGCAGGUUUCAAGCAACAGAUGUAAUGAUCUGUAGACCCUAAGCACAAUUAACUGCAGGAUGAGGUUUGGUAGUUGAAGUCUCAUGCUGACUGUGGACAGUAGGAGAACCUCAUAGUUGUAGAUUCCUUCUCCCUUUCUCAGUAAGUAAAGAAAAAACUGCUUUGGGGACCAUGUCUCGUAUUCAGCCUGGGCAGCUAAACUUGCUUCCUCUGAUUAAUAAAAUUAGGGGAAAGAUGACUGAUGCAACUGCUGGAUACAGAGUACAUGCAAAAAAGGGGAAGGUGCUUUUUUUCCUAACUUUACAGAUAGGUGUCAAUUUAAAAUUGAGACAAUGGAGGCCAGUCAAGCAUCUCAAAUCAUACUAGACAACUGUGUGGGCAGCUUGGUGCAGAGCACAAUUGAGAUGAAUAAUUCCUAGGAGGCACCUAUUUUUCUCUGAUGAUUACUAAGGAAGCUUAGAAUUUGACAAGUGGCCUUUAGAUGUAUAAAUUUGGGUGAGCUGUAGCUGUAGAUGACUACAUUAAAUACAUACAAAGGCAGGUGGAAAUAGAUGGCCUUAAGCAUUGCUCAGCUCGCAAAGGUGGUUUACUGGGGAUUGAAGACAGAAAGAGCUUCGAAGGUCACUCCAUGUGCUGUGAGCAGAGACAGCUCCAUAUCUGGCAUCUUUGACCACUGGGAAACCUUAUCUGAAUGGAAAAGACAUGUAUUGUAUGUGAAAGUGGCACUCGAGUGAAAUAGUUUUGCCUCCCUGUACAUCAGUUAUAGUUUUGAAAAUGAUCCAUUAUGCUCUGACCUGAGACUGCUGCAAAGUUUGAUAAGGCUUUAGUGAUGCAAUAAAGUUCACAACAUUCACAAAUUAGAGAAGGCUUGGGCAUUAAAAAAAAGUAUAUAAAACAAAUGAGUUUAUGGAGUUCUGUUGUUAUUUAAUGCAUUAAAUACCCAGGACACUGUUUAUAUUAAGUAAUCAGUGCUUGUUGCUCCCAGAUAAACCUGAAAUGAGAGUGAGUUAAAUACUUCGUUUUUUCUCUGUAAGGUGUGCAACUCUAUGACUGUCUUGCCUGGAUGUAUGGAGCUACUUUUGGCUCUUUUUGAGGAUGGGAGGCCUUGUUUACAAAUGUAACUGACCUUGCAAUCUGCAGAAGAUAUCCUGGACCAGAAGUAUGGAAGCCCUGGAGUAGAGCUUGACUCCAGCACUGCUUGGACAGGACAUGUUCUCUAUUGAGGGUAGUUCUGUACAGUCCCUGGGAAGGACUCAGCACAUCAGGGUGGAUACUCUGAAAAUAGAUGCAUGUACUUACCAUGGUUGCCUCAAGCUUCUCUCUUGAACAUAGGGAAGACACUACACAGGAAUGUUAUAGUGAUGUUUGGUAAACAAUUUUUGCUGUUUAAUGCCGUAAACAAAUGAUAAGUCAAAGUGCUAACACAUUAUGCUAUGCAUGCUGAGCCCUGGCCCUUUGUUCAAAUGUCCUUAUACAAAGUCUUGGCUGCUGAUGUGUAAAAAGAUAAAAGUUUACUGUGUAAGGCCCUGUGUGGACUGUGACCAGAAAGAAAGAGUUUUUAUUAUAGCAAACAAAUGAGAAAGGACAUGAAUUUUACAAUGUGUUAGAAGUGAAGAGAGGAAAGGAAAAGAUUACCAAGAGUCAUUAAUUUUCUUUUUUUAUUAUAUUUUCAUUAGAAAACAAUCUUGAACACCCAGGAAUAGUUUUCUAAUAAACGUAAGCUCAUGAAGAGCACUUGGAA